rnacentral:rRNA from 1 species
CCUACGGGAGGCAGCAGUGAGGAAUAUUGGUCAAUGGACGCAAGUCUGAACCAGCCAUGCCGCGUGCAGGAAGACUGCUCUAUGAGUUGUAAACUUCUUUUAUACGGGGAUAAAGGCAGAUACGUGUAUCUGUCUGAAAGUAUCUUACGAAUAAGGAUCGGCUAACUCCGUGCCAGCAGCCGCGGUAAUACGGAGGAUCCAAGCGUUAUCCGGAUUUAUUGGGUUUAAAGGGUGCGUAGGCGGGCGGAUAAGUUAGAGGUGAAAGCACGAGGCUCAACUUCGGAAUUGCAUUUGAUACUGUUCGGCUAGAGAGUAGUUGAGGUAGGCGGAAUGUAUGGUGUAGCGGUGAAAUGCUUAGAGAUCAUACAGAACACCGAUUGCGAAGGCAGCCUACUAAGCUACUUCUGACGUUGAGGCACGAAAGCGUGGGGAGCAAACAGGAUUAGAUACCCCUGUAGUC